ensembl:rRNA 5S_rRNA 5S ribosomal RNA
AGUUGUAUCUAUACCUCCAAAGGCUGUGAUCCCAUGUGAUCUCAACCUAAGCAGGGUGAGCCUGGUCAGUACUUGAAUAGGUGAUGUCCAAAGAAAACCUUGGUUUCUUGAUUC